GGCCAGAUAGCUCAGUUGGUAGAGCAAAGGACUGAAAAUCCUUGUGUCGCCGGUUCGAUUCCGGCUCUGGCCACCA
rnacentral:tRNA from 1 species